GUCCACGCCGUAAACGAUGAGUGCUAGAUGUUGGGGACUCUGUUCUCAGUGUCGCAGCUAACGCAUUAAGCACUCCGCCUGGGGAGUACGGCCGCAAGGUUAAAACUCAAAGGAAUUGACGGGGCCCGCACAAGCGGUGGAGCAUGUGGUUUAAUUCGACGCAACGCGCAGAACCUUACCAGCCCUUGACAUGGGGAGUAUGGGGUCGAGAGAUCGGUCCCUUCAGUUCGGCUGGCUCCCACACAGGUGCUGCAUGGCUGUCGU
rnacentral:rRNA from 1 species